rnacentral:rRNA from 1 species
UACAUGGGGUGCAAACGUUGCUCGGAAUUAUUGGGCGUAAAGCGCACGUAGGCGGUUCGUUAAGUCGGAUGUGAAAGCCCGGGGCUCAACUCCGGAAUUGCCUUUAAGACUGCAUCGCUAGAAUUGUGGAGAGGUAAGUGGAAUUCCGAGUGUAGAGGUGAAAUUCGUAGAUAUUCGGAAGAACACCAGUGGCGAAGGCGACUUACUGGACACACAUUGACGCUGAGGUGCGAAAGCGUGGGGAGCAAACAGG